CUACGGGUGGCAGCAGUGGGGAAUAUUGGACAAUGGGCGAAAGCCUGAUCCAGCCAUGCCGCGUGUGUGAAGAAGGCCUUCGGGUUGUAAAGCACUUUCAGUGGGGAAGAAAGCCUUGGGGCUAAUACCCUCGAGGAAGGACAUCACCCACAGAAGAAGCACCGGCUAACUCCGUGCCAGCAGCCGCGGUAAUACGGAGGGUGCGAGCGUUAAUCGGAAUUACUGGGCGUAAAGCGCGCGUAGGCGGUCUGAUAAGCCGGUUGUGAAAGCCCCGGGCUCAACCUGGGAACGGCAUCCGGAACUGUCAGGCUAGAGUGCAGGAGAGGAAGGUGGAAUUCCCGGUGUAGCGGUGAAAUGCGUAGAGAUCGGGAGGAAUACCAGUGGCGAAGGCGGCCUUCUGGACUGACACUGACGCUGAGGUGCGAAAGCGUGGGUAGCAAACAGGAUUAGAUACCCUGGUAGUC
rnacentral:rRNA from 1 species